rnacentral:rRNA from 1 species
AGUGAAUAGAUACCCCGGUAGUCCCAGCUGUAAACGAUGCGCGUUAGGUGUAUCGGUGACCACGAGUCACCGAGGUGCCGAAAGGGAAACCGUGAAACGUGCCGCCUGGGAAGUACGGUCGCAAGGCUGAAACUUAAAGGAAUUGGCGGGGGAGCACCACAACAGGUGGAGCCUGCGGUUUAAAUCGGACUCAACGCCGGGAAGCUCACCGGAUAAGACAGCUGAAUGAUAGCCGGGUUGAAGACUCUGCUUGACUAGCUGAGAGGAGGUGCAUGGCCGUCGUCAGUUCGUACUGUGAAGCAUCCUGUUAAGUCAGGCAACGAGCGAGACCCACGCCAACAGUUGCCAGCAUGUCCUCCGGGAUGGUGGGGACACUGUUGGGACCGCCUCUGCUAAAGAGGAGGAAGGAAUGGGCAACGGUAGGUCAGCAUGCCCCGAAUUAUCCGGGCUACACGCGGGCUACAAUGGUCAGGACAAUGGGUAUCAACACCGAAAGGUGAAGGCAAUCUCCUAAACCUGUCC